rnacentral:lncRNA from 1 species
UUUUUUCUUUUCUAUUUCUCUUCUAUUUCUUUAUUCUAUAUUAGUAGUUUUCAUGGUGAAAAAAAUGUAAUAGCUCUUUACGUGCCAUCCUGUUAUGCACCCAAUAAGCACACGCAAUUAGAUCGAUCAUGCAUUUCAUACAUAUAGCUGUCCAAUACUUAAAAUUAGUAGCAACAGGACUCAAACUAGAAUCAAGACUCAAACCGGUAGCACGACUCAAAUUGGUAGCAGCAGGACUCAAACUAGAAUCAAGACUCAAACCGGUAGCACGACUCAAACUGAUAGCAGACCAUCUAGAUAACAAAAUAGUAGGACUCAAACUAGUAGUCUUUCAUGACAGUAGUUCAUCAAAAUAAAAGAACAAUAAGUAGUAUAAUUUCAGAUACAGGAGCACUUCAUCCAUCCAGCAGACAUGAGCACUCCAUCCAUCAGGCAGAGCAGCACCACCAAAUGACAAGACCUGAUCUGGAGAAAGGAGAGAGAGAAGUAAGAAACAUACCUCAAUUAUGUUUAGAAAAUAGGGUCAAUGUCAUGCAC